GGGCUGCCAAGGGCCUUACACUACUGCAGUACUAAUUGCUGCUCUCGGGCUUGUGUCGCAAGGCCAAUACGAUUUUAGUUUGUUAUGCUCGUAUGUCGAAGCUUCCUGUAGGACAUUGGCAGCAAUAAGCGGCUUAACAAAACGUGGAGGAGCCGGAUGGACCACUGCCCGCCAUACAUGAAAAAGUUAGUUUUUAAAGAAGCUUGGGACAUCACGCUCUACCAAGUGUUCAGAAUUGUUGCAAAAGUUCAUGCGUAUGCCGUGUGUAGCUCGAGACAUGGCCAUGAUGUGCUCAAAUCUCUUAGAGGCGCACCUCAUGUCUCCUGGCAUGGCAUGACCGUGCAGUGUAAUCCACCAGUAAGGAACGCGCUACCUGAAGAGUGCUGGAUAGGAGAACGAGGCGGCGGUCGCAAUGCACCUAGCCGCGCCUGCUGGGCUACCUUGCAGGAGGGCAGCCCUUUUCAACAAUAUUGUUUGGCAAACGUCAGACAAAGAGAAACUGAGCAGUCCAGUAAUGUUAAGCCUCACUAGGUGCGCUAUGCCUGCAACGGCAGCUUGCAGUAGAGAGAUUUUUUCAUGUUAUCUUAUGUUGCCCAUCAUAAGAGUGAGAAACAUACUUGCACAGUGGCAGAAAGCAAGGCGCAUAUUUCCGCUUAAAAGGUGAAUGAUUUCAGAAGUAAUAACGCAGACUUACUGCGGCUAUGCGCCACACACAUCUUAACAGUCCUGGUUGGAACCGGGGAAACGUUCCAUCCAGCAACUUGUAAGGCCC
rnacentral:lncRNA from 1 species